GUGUUGGUGAUUUGUCGCAAGGGCCACACCUCUUCCCAUUCCGAACAGAGAAGUUAAGCCUUGUUGAGCCGAUGAUAGUCUUCAUGGCAAAAGUAGGCUGUCGCCAACAC
rnacentral:rRNA from 1 species